GAAAUCUGUUAGCUCCGAAAAAGCUGUAGUUGAACUUGAAGGCUUGAAAAUAAUGGAAGAAUGCUGGUGGAACAGCUGGUUUUCAGUAUAUGUGCUGCGACUUUAACUUCUUAUUUUCUAGUAUUUGCAGAGUCAAUCACAUACAAGGAACUCCUAUUUUCUUGUUUCUGAUCCAGACUUGGCUGGAUCUCCCCCUAGGCGUGUACCUUCUCCUAUUACUGUGCGCCAAGCCACUAAUGCAUCUUAAUCAUCGAGUGUAAUGGGAUUGGGAAGUUCAAGUGUUGAGAAUGCCACAAAAUUUGGGGAUGACUGUGGUCCUAGAUAUAAAGUAGCAACAAAUACACCUACUAGGCCUUCACAAAAUUCAGAAAUUCCUCCACUUGGUUUACCUAGCCUGAGCACAGGAUUGUCUGAUGAUGACUUGCGGGAAUCAGCCUAUGAGUUAUUGCUUGCUUCUAUAUUUUUGUCUGGGGUUGGAACUCUUUUCUUUCUUUCUAUCGUCAACUGAAUAACUUCCAACCCCAGACAAAAAUAU
rnacentral:misc_RNA from 1 species